GGAUUGUGGCUCAGCGGUAGAGUGCUCACCUAGCAUCGGCGAGACCCGGGUUCCAUCCUCAGCACCA
rnacentral:tRNA from 1 species